rnacentral:rRNA from 1 species
UACAGAGGUCUCAAGCGUUGUUCGGAUUCAUUGGGCGUAAAGGGUGCGUAGGCGGCGCGGUAAGUCGGGUGUGAAAUCUCGGGGCUUAACUCCGAAACUGCAUUCGAUACUGCCGUGCUUGAGGACUGGAGAGGAGACUGGAAUUUACGGUGUAGCGGUGAAAUGCGUAGAUAUCAGGAGGAACACCGAUGGCGAAGGCAGGUCUCUGGGCCACUACUGACGCUGAGAAGCGAAAGCAUGGGGAGCGAACAGG